rnacentral:rRNA from 1 species
AGGGAGCUUGCUCCUGGAUUCAGCGGCGGACGGGUGAGUAAUGCCUAGGAAUCUGCCUGGUAGUGGGGGAUAACGUCCGGAAACGGGCGCUAAUACCGCAUACGUCCUGAGGGAGAAAGUGGGGGAUCUUCGGACCUCACGCUAUCAGAUGAGCCUAGGUCGGAUUAGCUAGUUGGUGGGGUAAAGGCCUACCAAGGCGACGAUCCGUAACUGGUCUGAGAGGAUGAUCAGUCACACUGGAACUGAGACACGGUCCAGACUCCUACGGGAGGCAGCAGUGGGGAAUAUUGGACAAUGGGCGAAAGCCUGAUCCAGCCAUGCCGCGUGUGUGAAGAAGGUCUUCGGAUUGUAAAGCACUUUAAGUUGGGAGGAAGGGCAGUAAGUUAAUACCUUGCUGUUUUGACGUUACCAACAGAAUAAGCACCGGCUAACUUCGUGCCAGCAGCCGCGGUAAUACGAAGGGUGCAAGCGUUAAUCGGAAUUACUGGGCGUAAAGCGCGCGUAGGUGGUUCAGCAAGUUGGAUGUGAAAUCCCCGGGCUCAACCUGGGAACUGCAUCCAAAACUACUGAGCUAGAGUACGGUAGAGGGUGGUGGAAUUUCCUGUGUAGCGGUGAAAUGCGUAGAUAUAGGAAGGAACACCAGUGGCGAAGGCGACCACCUGGACUGAUACUGACACUGAGGUGCGAA